rfam:Triticum aestivum genome assembly, contig: Triticum_aestivum_CS42_TGACv1_scaffold_288270_4AL
GUCCCUUCGAGGAUAUCCGAUAAAAUAGGAACAAUAAAGAGAAGAUUAGCUUGGCCCCUGCGCAAGGAUGACACGCACAAAGCGAGAAAUGGUCUAAUUUUUU